AGUUUGAUCUUGGCUCAGGAUGAACGCUGGCGGUAUGCCUAACACAUGAAAGUCGUACGAGAGUUUUUAACUCAAGUGGCGGACGGGUGAGUAACACGUGAGAAUUUACCUUUAGGAGGGGGACAACAACUGGAAACGGUUGCUAAUACCCCAUAUGCUUUCGAGUCAAAUGGAUUUAUUCGCCUAAAGGAGAAGCUCGCGGCUGAUUAGCUUGUUGGUAGGGUAAGAGCCUACCAAGGCGACGAUCAGUAUCUGGUUUGAGAGGACGAUCAGACACACUGGAACUGAGACACGGUCCAGACUCCUACGGGAGGCAGCAGUGGGGAAUUUUCCGCAAUGGGCGAAAGCCUGACGGAGCAAUACCGCGUGAGGGAAGACGGCCUAUGGGUUGUAAACCUCUUUUUUCAGGGAGGAAUAAUUGACGUGUACCUGAAGAAUAAGCAUCGGCUAACUCCGUGCCAGCAGCCGCGGUAAGACGGAGGAUGCAAGUGUUAUCCGGAAUCACUGGGCGUAAAGCGUCUGUAGGUGGUUGAACAAGUCAACUGUUAAAUCUUGAGGCUCAACUUCAAAAUCGCAGUCGAAACUGUUUGACUAGAGUAUAGUAGGGGUAAAGGGAAUUUCCAGUGGAGCGGUGAAAUGCGUAUAUAUUGGAAAGAACACCGAUGGCGAAGGCACUUUACUGGGCUAUUACUGACACUCAGAGACGAAAGCUAGGGUAGCAAAUGGGAUUAGAAACCCCAGUAGUCCUAGCCGUAAACAAUGGAUACUAGAUGUUGAACAGAUCGACCCUGUGCAGUAUCAA
rnacentral:rRNA from 1 species